GCUUUCGUGGUGUAGUGAUCAGCACGCUCGACGCGUAAUCGGGAGGUCCGUGGUUCGAUUCCCGGCGAAGGCG
rfam:Stegodyphus mimosarum contig57163, whole genome shotgun sequence.